rnacentral:tRNA from 1 species
GGGAAUAGCUGUAUCCAUGGUGGAUGCCCUAGACUUCAAAUCUAGCGGCAGGCAACUUUAGUUGUCUGCGGUGGGUUCGAUUCCCACAUAUUCCCGCCA